UGGGGAAUAUUGGACAAUGGGCGCAAGCCUGAUCCAGCAAUUCCGCGUGGGUGAAGAAGGUUUUCGGAUUGUAAAGCCCUUUCGGCGGGGACGCGGUACCCGCAGAAGAAGCCCCGGCUAACUUCGUGCCAGCAGCCGCGGUAAUACGAAGGGGGCUAGCGUUGCUCGGAAUGACUGGGCGUAAAGGGCGCGUAGGCGGCGUGGUAAGUCAGGCGUGAAAUUCCUGGGCUCAACCUGGGGGCUGCGCUUGAGACUGCUGUGCUUGAGGGUGAGAGAGGCUCGUGGAAUUCCCAGUGUAGAGGUGAAAUUCGUAGAUAUUGGGAAGAACACCGGUGGCGAAGGCGGCGAGCUGGUCAUUUUCUGACGCUGAGGCGCGAAAGCGUGGGGAG
rnacentral:rRNA from 1 species